rnacentral:rRNA from 1 species
GAUCUCUUCGGAUUGAAGUUUUUGGUGACUGAGUGGCGGACGGGUGAGUAACGCGUGGGUAACCUGCCUCAUACAGGGGGAUAACAGUUAGAAAUGACUGCUAAUACCGCAUAAGCGCACAGUGUCGCAUGACACGGUGUGAAAAACUCCGGUGGUAUGAGAUGGACCCGCGUCUGAUUAGCUAGUUGGCGGGGUAACGGCCCACCAAGGCGACGAUCAGUAGCCGACCUGAGAGGGUGAUCGGCCACAUUGGGACUGAGACACGGCCCAAACUCCUACGGGAGGCAGCAGUGGGGAAUAUUGCACAAUGGGGGAAACCCUGAUGCAGCGACGCCGCGUGAAGGACGACGUAUUUCGGUAUGUAAACUUCUAUCAGCAAGGAAGAUGAUGACGGUACUUGACUAAGAAGCCCCGGCUAACUACGUGCCAGCAGCCGCGGUAAUACGUAGGGGGCAAGCGUUAUCCGGAUUUACUGGGUGUAAAGGGAGCGUAGGCGGCCAUGCAAGUCAGAAGUGAAAGCCCGGGGCUCAACCCCGGGACUGCUUUUGAAACUGUAAGGCUAGAUUGCCGGAGAGGUAAGCGGAAUUCCUAGUGUAGCGGUGAAAUGCGUAGAUAUUAGGAGGAACACCAGUG